UGCAGUCGAACGAAGUCUUCGGACUUAGUGGCGAACGGGUGCGUAACGCGUGGGAACCUGCCCUUAGGUUCGGAAUAACAGUUAGAAAUGACUGCUAAUGCCGGAUAAUGUCUUCGGACCAAAUAUUUAUCGCCUUUGGAUGGGCCCGCGUAGGAUUAGGUAGUUGGUGAGGUAAAGGCUCACCAAGCCGACGAUCCUUAGCUGGUCUGAGAGGAUGAUCAGCCACACUGGGACUGAGACACGGCCCAGACUCCUACGGGAGGCAGCAGUAGGGAAUAUUGGACAAUGGGCGAAAGCCUGAUCCAGCAAUGCCGCGUGAGUGAUGAAGGCCUUAGGGUUGUAAAGCUCUUUUACCAGGGAUGAUAAUGACAGUACCUGGAGAAUAAGCUCCGGCUAACUCCGUGCCAGCAGCCGCGGUAAUACGGAGGGAGCUAGCGUUGUUCGGAAUUACUGGGCGUAAAGCGCG
rnacentral:rRNA from 1 species